UGUGUGUGUGUGUGUGUGUGUGUGUGUGUGUGGGGCGUUGGUGAACGCGUGUACCUGCCUGCCCGGACGAGUCUGAUAAUGGUGUGAACCAAAAGCGGUGCGACGAGUAUUGGAACAUCCCCGCAAACAAAAGCCCAGAUGGCGACUGAUCCAAAACCUAGCUCACAGAUUCAGCUGCGCUGGCCGCAAUUUAACCCCCUACGCCAACCCCUCAGCCCGGGUGACGGCCAAGGUCGCAGACGCUCAUUCGAGAUAGUGGAAGGAAUUAGAUAAGGGCUGAGCGGCCCUCAUCUGGCUAAGCCUGCCUGAACGCAACACGGGAGGUAAACACACAGGGAAGGAAGGACUCCGAGGGGCUACAGAUGGUGCGCCCUGGGCCUGGUGACUGAAGCUCCCAAUGAGCUCCUUUUGGA